rnacentral:lncRNA from 1 species
AACACUUAGACAGAUAAACGCCCUCCACAUUACUCCAUGUAAAUAGUUACCGUCCUGCAUAAUUUAGAAUCAUCACAGCCACAGCACAACCAGGGGGAGUCUCACCAUGAUUUCCUCACACAUUAAGCUGCUUUUGGGCUUCACCUAGCUCAAUACAGUCAAUAGAUCAUGUUCCCUUUGAACCCGGCCUUUGCUAAACUAUCCUCCAGCUCAUUUGCCUUUCUAGGUGUGUGGAUAAUUUGCCAAUUGCUAACUUGGGAUUUUAAAUUCUGUAUAUGCAAGAUUAUAUUCCCC